AACAGAGGGGGCAAGCGUUGCUCGGAAUUACUGGGCGUAAAGGGCGCGUAGGCGGGAUGGCAAGUCGGUCGUGAAAUCCCUCGGCUCAACUGAGGAGCGUCGAUCGAAACUGCCGUUCUUGAGGGUUGCAGAGGAGACUGGAAUUCCCGGUGUAGCGGUGAAAUGUGUAGAGAUCGGGAGGAACACCGGUGGCGAAGGCGGGUCUCUGGGCAACUCCUGACGCUGAGGCGCGAAAGCGUGGGGAGCAAACGGG
rnacentral:rRNA from 1 species